rnacentral:rRNA from 1 species
UACGGAGGGUGCAAGCGUUAUCCGGAUUCACUGGGUUUAAAGGGUGCGUAGGUGGGUUGGUAAGUCCGUGGUGAAAUCUCCGAGCUUAACUCGGAAACUGCCGUGGAUACUAUCAAUCUUGAAUACUGUGGAGGUAAGCGGAAUAUGUCAUGUAGCGGUGAAAUGCUUAGAUAUGACAUAGAACACCUAUUGCGAAGGCAGCUUACUACGCAGAUAUUGACGCUCAUGCACGAAAGCGUGGGGAUCAAACAGG